GCUGGCGGCGUGCCUAACACAUGCAAGUCGAGCGGUAACAGGUGUAGCAAUACAUGCUGACGAGCGGCGAACGGGUGAGUAAUGCUUUGGAAUCUUCCCAGUAGUGGGGAAUAACCAGUCGAAAGAUUGGCUAAUACCGCAUACGUCCCUUUUUCGAAAGAGGAGGGGGGAAAGCAGGGGAUCGUAAGACCUUGCGCUAUUGGAUGAGCCAAAGUCGGAUUAGCUAGUUGGUGAGGUAAUGGCUCACCAAGGCGACAAUCCGUAGCUGGUCUGAGAGGACGACCAGCCACACCGGAACUGAGACACGGUCCGGACUCCUACGGGAGGCAGCAGUGGGGAAUAUUGGACAAUGGGGGAAACCCUGAUCCAGCGACGCCGCGUGUGUGAAGAAGGCCUGCGGGUUGUAAAGCACUUUUAGUGGGGACAAAAAGCCAAAGGCUAAUACCUUUUGGUCUUGAUUUAACUCACAGAAAAAGCACCGGCUAACUCUGUGCCAGCAGCCGCGGUAAUACAGAGGGUGCGAGCGUUAAUCGGAAUUACUGGGCGUAAAGCGCGCGUAGACGGUUUUGUAAGUCAGAUGUGAAAUCCCCGGGCUCAACCUGGGAACUGCAUUUGAUACUGCAUGGCUAGAGUACGGUAGAGGGAAGCGGAAUUUCCGGUGUAGCGGUGAAAUGCGUAGAUAUCGGA
rnacentral:rRNA from 1 species